rnacentral:rRNA from 1 species
GACGAGGGGUCCAAGCGUUGUUCGGAAUCAUUGGGCGUAAAGCGUGCGCAGGCGGUUUUGUAAGUCUGUCGUGAAAUCCCCGGGCUCGACCUGGGAAUGGCGAUGGAGACUGCAAGGCUAGAGUUUGGCAGAGGGGGGUAGAAUUCCACGUGUAGCAGUGAAAUGCGUAGAUAUGUGGAGGAACACCGAUGGCGAAGGCAGCCCCCUGGGUCAAAACUGACGCUCAUGCACGAAAGCGUGGGGAGCAAACAGG